GGAGAUGUAGCACAGAUGGUAAAACGUUUGCUUAGUAUGCAAGAGGUCUCGGGAUUGAUCCCUCAUGUCUCCA